rnacentral:rRNA from 1 species
AACAUUUCUUUUUGUUUAAAAUUUAAAAAGUACGGCCUGCCCACUGAUUAAUUUGAAGGGCCGCGGUAUUAUGACCGUGCUAAGGUAGCAUAAUCAUUAGUUUCUUAAUUAGAAAAUGGAAUGAAUGGCUUAACCUAAAAGUUUUUUUUUUCUUCGGUUAAAAAUUUGAAUUUUAAUCAUAAGUGAAAAUGCUUAUAUUUUUCUAAAAGACGAUAAGACCCUAUAGAGCUAUAGCUAUUAAUUUCAAAAAACAUUUUGGGGGGGAAAAUGUUUUUUGAAAUUAAUAGCUUGGUUGGGGCAACCAAAGAAUAAAAAAAACUUCUAAAAUUAGGGACUUGAACUUUAAAAUUAAAAAGUUACCUUAGGGAUAACAGCGUAAUAAUUUUUGAGAGUUCUAAUCGACAAAAUUGUUUGCGACCUCGAUGUUGAAUUAAAAAAUCUUUUGAAAGCAGAAUUUUAAAAAGAUAGUCUGUUCGACUAAUAAUAUUUUACAUGAUUUGAUU